rnacentral:rRNA from 1 species
AUACGAAGGUCCCAAGCGUUAUUCGGAAUCACUGGGCGUAAAGAGUACGUAGGCGGUUUGGUAAGUCAGGUGUGAAAUCCCGAAGCUCAACUUCGGAACUGCAUCCGAUACUGCCAGACUUGAGUAAUGGAGAGGCAGGUGGAAUUCUCGGUGUAGCAGCGAAAUGCGUGGAUAUCGAGAGGAAGACCAAUGGCGAAGGCAGCCUGCUGGACAUUUACUGACGCUGAGGUACGAAGGCUAGGGGAGCGAAAGGGAUUAGAUACCCCAGUAGUCC